AUCCAAAGGGCAUAUUUCCUCCUCUCUUGCCAAGUGUCCUCCUGAUGACUGUUGGAGCACAGGAAACGGUUACAACCGUCGUUGGAGGUCGGUAAUUACCGACCUGGAGAAUUUUUGGGCCAGCUAGGCUGGGCCUAGGUCGGCCGACCCCUGGCUGGUCCCUUUGGCCCAGAGCUUUCUCCAAGCUCCUGUAUGGUGGGUCCAAGGUCUAGCGGUGUGUCGGUUGGGCCCAAUUGCAGGUGUUUCAUUGGGUUUGUGGGGCCCUUUUUUACAUUUAUUCUCCACUUGUCGACAUUUGACUGAUUGAACGGGUGUUUUCCACCAUUUCUCCUCCAUUUAUAUGGUGAACUACUGUAAGCAAAUAUAAUGCCAAGUACAAGUGGAAAUAGAUUAUUUCUAAGUAUGCAUGCAAGCAUUGCUAAUUCUCUAUUAUUUUUGGAAUUAUUGACGGUCGAAAUUGGUCUAUAACAACCAUCAACACCUAUGAUGUGAAUAAUGGUUGUAUCGAUGAUAGCCAUAGUCACAUCAAUAUAUGAUCUACAAAAGUAACACAAAGCCACAAGUAAACAAGCUAGAUGCAAUGAUAAAUGCAAAAGGGAAAGAAAUCAAUAAGGAUGGAGAUGCAGAGAAUUUUUUCUCAAAGUUUGGCUUCUUAAGGUGAUUGUACGUCUCAGUUGAGGAGCUCACAAAGAGCUAAGUUUAUUUCAACACUGUUCCUGUUGAAGUUGCACAAGCAUUCCUCUUUCACAAAUGUUAUCUCGCUUUUCUUACACAGUUGUGAUCCAAUCUUAACAAACCUCUCUUGACACACCACAAGCCAAUUAGUGACUCAAGGCCAAAUCCUGGCCAUCUUAAAAACUCAAGCGAAUAUUUUUUGAACUGGCGAAAGUUCCAAUAAAAUACUUCCUCCGUCGAAAUAUCUUAAAAACUAAAGCAAGUAUCCAGACAAACAUUUCUUUUUUUUUUUUGCCUGUGGUCACAAACACUUGGGAUUGUGCUAUAUAUCUACUAUUGGGUCGAAAUAUCUAGCCGAUUGGAACUUCUAGCUAUUGUGUCGAAACUUCCAAUAAAAUAGGGUACCUGAGAGCUUAACAUUCAAGAAAAUUGUUUUAUUUUUGAAACAUUGGAUAUUGUGGGCAACUCAUCGAAAGUUCUGGUCGAAACAAUAAAGCAGACUCUUGGGUAUUCCAUGAGACCCAACGGAACUUCCAGUAAAAUUAAGAUUUGCAACCCAAGAUUUGCCAACAGAAAUGAACACUUACAAAUAAUUUUACUUUCACUAAGGUUCAGUAUUAGUUAAUUGAAUGGCAUCCCUCUCAACAUACGGCAGUCCUAUACUCAAGAAAAUGAAAAAAAGAAAACAAUUACCACAUGAAUCUAAUUGCAUCAUAUAUAGUGUUGUUCCUGUGUUAAAUUUGUUAAUCUCAUGGUAGCGAUAGCAACUAUUGUUGGAUCAAUCAAUGAGACCAAUCAACAAUUUGUUAUGAUUGUUUUUUUUUGGAGCAAAAUGAGUAUCAUUGCCGGUUUAUGAGUUGAACCGAUAGCGUUGUAUGAUUUUGGGUAGUGCCUGCUCAAUUCUUUGGACGGGUUAUUUGAAAAAUGCUCAAAAUACCCUUAUAUAUUCAAAAGUCACUACAACAAAAGGGCAAAUAGGUGUCACCACUAUAGGUGUCAGCACACCAAAAACUGGCACCUAUAAUGCCUUCUCCGCCCAUGCGCCCACCCACACGCGCCACAUAUUCAACAACCAGCACCUUUAUGUCCAAAUAGGUGUCGGUUUUUAAAUAAAACCGGCACCUAAAACCUGUGUCAGAGAAAGGUGCUGGUUCUAGACCCAAAACCAACACCUUUAAUCUUCUCCCUCCCACACUAGCCGUUGGCGGGCCCCACAUAUAGGUGCCGGUUCUCAACCCAAACCGACACCUUUGUUUCAAAAGUGCUUUUCAUGCCCGAUGGUGGGCCCUACACAAAGGUGCCGGUUCUUGGUAUGACAAGACAAAGGUGUUGGUUCUCGACCCAAAACCGGCACCUUUAACAUUCUCCCUCCCAUACUAGCCGUUGGUGGGCCCCAUACAUAGUUGUCAGUUUUUGUAUGACAAGAUAAAGGUGUCGGUUUUUGUCUAGAACCGGCACCUUUGUUCCGAUAGUGCUUUUCAUGCCCCACACAAAGGUGCCGGUUUUUUGUCUAGAACCGGCAAAUCUAGCUCCUCCGCCUCGACAGAAGACCUCCAGUCCACCUCCUCGUGAAAACACACCUAAUGAACCACAUCGUCCAGAGAAGUCCACGAGUCCACCCCCACACAGAAAAAAGACCCGAACACCAAGUGCAUCACAUAUGUCUGUUCCAUCAAGCAAAGAACGACUCAAACAUUCCAAUUCAGACUUAGUGUCAAAGCCGACAACGCCGCUGCAUAAGAAGACAAUGAACGCCAGCAUCACUUCGCUUUUUUGUCCUCCGCAUGUAAUCGAGCAUUUCAUCAAGUGCGCACCACCGAAGUCACCUAAGAAGCCUAUAUCGGACUUCCGGAAAAUUCUUGGCAAAAAAAGAUAUGCAAGCUUAGUCUAGGGAGUUGUACCUUGAAGAGAAAGCGUCCAAGGAAGCUGAUUUCUGCAAGUCAGCUAGUUUGAAAAGCCUGGACAAUCUAAAUGAACUUGAAGAGGCCCCGAUUGUACUGCGAUUCCAACUUGGUCAACCGAUGGUGCUUGACACAGAAAUUGAAUCCUUAGGAACUCAAGCGCAUUGGCUGCAUGAAUGGUAUUUGGAGGAGGCCAAAAAGGGUGUUGGGAUGUUCGGUGCCUACUACACCAACGUGGAUUUUCACCACCCCAAUAAUACAUGAUUUGUAGAUUUUAAGGAACUCUUCCAGUUGUACCAAAGAAGGGAACUCGAUAUCUGCCUCCUGCAAUUGUGGUCAUUGCAUUGCUCUUAUCAGGUUAGAUCCAUGAACCAUAAGAUAGCUUUCCUAGACCCAACCGUUGUAAACUUUGACAAGCAAUGCACCUCCGAAGCUGAAAUUGACCGCUAUCUCUUUGAUGCCCUUGUCAAGCUUAAUGGAUGUGACCACAUUUUGUUGCCUUACCUUUCUCACCAUCAUUGGAUCCUCCUCGUAAUCAACAUCGACGACAGUUCGAUUUGCAUAUAUGAUAGCCUGAGAGGGAUAGACAAGUACCAAACUAUUUUAAGUGCACUAAAUAGGGCAUAUAAGAAGUACCGUAGGUCCGGAAGAUCGUAUGGGAGAUGCAAGAUUGAUGCAACUGAAUUUCGGAUUUUCGAACAUAAAUAUAUCCUUCGUCAACUAGAGGCCACCGACCUCUGCGGAUUCUACGUCAUGCGGUACAUGCUAUAUUUUGUAGAGGAUGGAUACAAUCACCGCAAUGCCGAGAAAUUGGGUCUCGAUACAAGUGAAAUUCUACCACACGUCUUCAAAGCUCUCACUGACGAGUUUUGCGGGUUCAUCUGUCAUCAUGUUGUAGACCCAACUGGCGAAUACAACAUCAACAAGGUCCCACAACGAGUGCAAUCUUCUGUCCCUCCCCCUCGGGACCAAGCCGCGAAGAAAUUAGCUCCUAGGAAAAGAAAAACCAGCUAGCUAGAUUUAUGUGAAAAAAAUGUAUUUAAUUAGUGUUUAUGCAUGAACUAUGGAAGUGUACUUUAUGUGUAAUGCAUUUGAAUAUUUGCUAUUAUUAUGGAUUCUAUUUUAUGUUUUCUAUUACAGGCUCGAUGACUUGAGGACGAGAAA